rnacentral:rRNA from 1 species
UUGCUCUUGGUCUAACCGAGUGGCGGACGGGUGAGUAACGCGUGAACAAUCUGUCUCAUACAGGGGGAUAACGCACCGAAAGGUGUGCUAAUACCGCAUAAGACCACGGCACCGCAUGAUGCAGAGGUCAAAGGAGCAAUCCGGUAUGAGGUGAGUUCGCGUCCGAUUAGAUAGUUGGUGAGGUAACGGCCCACCAAGUCUGCGAUCGGUAGCCGACCUGAGAGGGUGAUCGGCCACAUUGGAACUGAGAUACGGUCCAGACUCC